rnacentral:lncRNA from 1 species
AUAAUCGAAACUCUCCAUCAUAAGUACUAUAUGGCAUCUUUCUUAUGAGUGACAGAUGAAACUCCAUAGUAUAUGAAUUUUGAUACAAUUGUAGUUAACGUCAUAGAUAGUGCCUUUGGGAUUCUAUACUAAAAACCAAAGAAAAGAAAGUUAAAUGGUACAAUAAAUAUUUUCACACUUGAUAUUAAUACAUACACAUCAUUAAAUAGUUAUACCUAUAUUUUUGCCAAGUCAUCUGUAAUUACUCACCCUAGUUGAUUGGUUUUCAUUGAAAUUUUCUUGUUCAAGGGCAGGUGCUGCAUGGUUUUGCUUAGUUAUUUGAAGGUGCAGCUUGUAGUAUGAUCGAAUCUUCCCCUGGAACAAUAUCCAUGGUUAAAGAUGAUCAUUGCUUAGUCAGCUAUUCAGACUCUUCUGGAAACAGUUGUUAUGGGAAGAGGAGUGGGUGGAAGAUGAAUAGACUCACAGGAACUCUUUAAGGGAAAGGUUGAAGCAAUUUUUCAUGGGAAGGGGGAAAUAAUUACAAAGAAAUUCUUUCUGGAAAAGAUCAAUAACUGGAAAAUUACCCUUUGAACUCAUUGUCAUAGGAAAUUUAUCUAAUAAUAUUUUUCUCUCCAAAAGACUAAUUUUUCAAUGGACUCAUAUUGCCAAGGGCAACUUUUUCACAUACCUAAAAAGAAGUGCAUAAACAUCACCCCCCAAAAAGGGGAGAAACAAUGUUUUUCUUGCUUUUAGAAAAAUAAAUAUACAUACCUUAUAGGAAAAUUUUAAAUCAGUUCCACUUACCACAUUCAUAAAUAGUUAAGUUUUAAUUUUAUGCUAUUUGCUUCUAUUUAUAUAAAUGAAAGAUGAAUUAAGGAGAUCUGAAGUAUAGAAAAAUCAAAAUGUAGCAAAAAGUCACUAUAUACUACUUAUAUUUAAUAUUGAAAAUCAAGAAAUCUAUCAGUUCUGUAGUUGUCAGGAGUAUAUUUUGGACAAUUUCUGGCAUCUAAAAAAAUCUUAGAGAGUUUUUUUUUCUUGGUGUUCUUAAAUUCAGCUUUAUUAAGUUAUACUUUGCGUACAAUAGCAUUUACUCAUUUUAACUGUAUAUUUUGAUGAGUAUUAAGAAAGGUAAGAAAGGCUUAUUUUCAACCACAGCCAUGAUAUAGAACAUUUCCAUUAAACUGAGGGUUGCUUUAUGCCCUUUUCUAGGCAGAAGCCUUCCCUCACCCCCAGUUCCUGACAACUACUGAUAUUUCUGUCACUAUGUUUUGUUUUUUGCCUUUUAUAGAAUCUCAUAUAAAUGAAGUAAUGCAACAUAUUAUGGUUUUUGUCCAUCUUCUUUCAUGUAGCAGGAUGCUCUACAGAUUUAACUAUGUUGUGACUUGUAUCAGUAGUUAGAAUAUUUAAUUGCUGAAAGGUAUUCCACUGUAUGGAUUAACCACAAAUUGUUUAUCAAUUCAUUUAGUGGAUGUUUGGGUCAUUUCCAAUACUUUGUGAUGAAUAAAGCACCUAUGAACAUUCAAGUGCAAAUCUUUUUGUUAACAUCUGUUUUCAUUUUGCUUACAUGAAUACUUAAAAGUGGAAUUAUUGGGUCAUAUGGUAAGUAUAUGUUUAACUAUCAGAAAUUGUGUUUUCUUCCAAAGUGGCUAAACUGUUUCACAUUUCCACUAGCAUUGUCUGAGCAUUUCAGUGGCUUCACAUUCUCACAAUUAUUCUGUGGAGUUCUAGAUUAGUGAACUAUUUUAAUUAUGAGCCACAGUAAGAGUUUCAUUUUACAGUAUAGCUCAUGAUACACAUAAUUGAAACAUGUUUUAAAAAAACAGUACUUUGAUUUACUACAAAUGAGGCAGUCUGAUUUCUAUUUUCUAUUCUCAUAUAUUUUGCUAAAAAUAAAAAUGCCUAUCUUAACUACUAAGCUAGCUGCACAGCCUACUAAUCGUUCAACCUAUAAUUUUAAAAACACACUUUGGAUAUAAUCUACAUACCAAUGCAAAUAUCUAAGUUUAGGUUGAUGGUUUACUUUGUAAUAAAACUAUAGACAUAAAGUUUAGUAUAUACAAUUUUCUCUACCAGGGAUCAGUUGCUUGAGUUGAGAUGGGAAAGCUAGCUAAAGGAUUAAUUUGGGUUUGGGGUUUUGCCAAAUAGAUGAGAAUGACAAAAACAAAGCAGGAAAUUGACAAAAGGUCGUGGGAAUCAAGACUGGAUGUGGUAGAAAUUGUUAGUGGCAACAAGCCUGUAUCAGAAGAUGGACACAUUGGCUUCAGUGUGGAGUUUUAGAGUCAUCACCCUCAGCCACCAAAGUGACUACGUUUUCCCUUUACCUUUUCAAACUAUUUUGUAUCAGUCAAUAAGAGGGAAGGUUUGGGCAAAAAAAUAUUAUUAGUAAUGGUUAAAUGUUCAUUUGGAAAGAAGACUGAAAUUAUUAUCUAAAUCUAUUAGGUUUAAUAUUUUACUCAUUUACACAUUGCCUUUCAUCUAUUUUCAUGCUUGUUCAGGAAUCAGUUAUAGCAAAAUGAUUGAUGAUUUAAAUUUGAGAUAUUAAAUGAGGUUAUACUAGAAUGUAUUCAGUUUAAAUAUAGUGGAGUCAUGAAUGGUAAAAAAAAAAAAGAACAUUAUUUCUUUUUCUGGGUAACUCGCAUAUUUUUGUUUCAUUUUUUUUUUUACAACUUUACACUGACCUUUGCUUUUCCUCUUAAAAUUCAUCAGUUUUGUCCCUUCUAUCAGUGAGUAUUCAGCUGAGAACUGAGUUUUUUAAGGUUUUAUAUUAGAGGAAACUGUGUGAAGUUGCAGAUAUCAUUAGUAGACUGAUUCAACAUUUCAGAUUAGCAAAGGAACAUGGUCCAAGGUCACUGAAUAAAUUACACUGUAUCAAAAAAAAAAUGAAAAUUACACCCUGACAUAGUAUGAUUUUAAUAAAAAAUGAAAAUGGGAUUUAUGACCCCCUUUCUUCAGGCUACUAAUGUUCAUUGCCAAAAGAUGAAUCCCUUCUGUGACAUUAAAUGUGAGACAGGCCACAGAAAAUGUUGUGGACUAAUUCACUUGCCAAGAAGAGAGACAAAGUGUAUAUAUGCAUAUGUUUUUAUAUUCAUCUGCUAUCAUCGUGAAGCCAAAUAUGUUUAAGGCAAACAAAUCAGGCCAAAUAAGAUCAUAUUUUUCCCAGU